GAGUUUGAUCGUGGCUCAGGAUGAACGCUGGCGGCGUGCCUAACACAUGCAAGUCGAACGGAGUUCUUAAGGAAUGCGGCUUCGGCCAAAUGACUUUUGAACUUAGUGGCGGACGGGUGAGUAACGCGUGAGCAACCUGCCUUUCAGAGGGGGAUAACAUUUGGAAACAGAUGCUAAUACCGCAUAAGAUUACAGUACCGCAUGAUACAGUGAUCAAAGGAGCAAUCCGCUGAAAGAUGGGCUCGCGUCCGAUUAGAUAGUUGGUGAGGUAACGGCGUCACCAAGUCGACGAUCGGUAGCCGGACUGAGAGGUUGAACGGCCACAUUGGGACUGAGACACGGCCCAGACUCCUACGGGAGGCAGCAGUGGGGAACAUUGCACAAUGGGCGAAAGCCUGAUGCAGCAACGCCGCGUGAGGG
rnacentral:rRNA from 1 species